rnacentral:tRNA from 1 species
GGGGAUGUAGCUCAGUGGUAGAAUGUCUGCUUAACAUGCAUAAGGCCCAGGGCUCUAUCCCCAGCACCCCCC